rnacentral:rRNA from 1 species
CUACGGGUUGCAGCAGCGAGGAAUAUUGCACAAUGGGGGGAACCCUGAUGCAGCAACGCCGCGUGGAGGAUGACGCAUUUCGGUGUGUAAACUCCUUUUAUAUGUCAAGAAAAUGACGGUAGCAUAUGAAUAAGCACCGGCUAACUCCGUGCCAGCAGCCGCGGUAAUACGGAGGGUGCAAGCGUUACUCGGAAUCACUGGGCGUAAAGGACGCGUAGGCGGGCUGGAAAGUCAGGUGUGAAAUCCUACAGCUUAACUGUAGAACUGCACUUGAAACUUCUAAUCUAGAGUAUGGGAGGGGGAGAUGGAAUUAGUGGUGUAGGGGUAAAAUCCGUAGAUAUCACUAGGAAUACCUAAAGCGAAGGCGAUCUCCUGGAACAUUACUGACGCUAAGGCGUGAAAGCGUGGGGAGCAAACAGGAUUAGAUACCCCUGUAGUC